CUGGACGCGAGUGGGAGGCCGCCUGCUGGAUGGCAGCAUCGACCGAGAGGGGAAAGUGCUGGUUCUGGAGAGAGUGCCAGCAGAACUUAACGGAUCCAUGUAUCGCUGCACAGCCCAGAAUCCUCUGGGUUCCACAGAUACACACACCCGUCUCAUAGUUUUUGAAAAUCCAAGCAUGAUGAAAAACACACACCAUCCAAACAACAAAGCUUCCGCCGUGGACGUCCUUGGACUGACUUGGAUUGCACUUCUUGUCACAGUUACAGCGGAACUGACGUGAAACCUGAACUUCAAGUCACUCUCUUUCACCAAUAUACACACAUGUAUGCCCCUACAGUACAAAACAUCUGCAUAUGCACACAAACACACACACACAUAUAGUGCAUAAACUCUCCGUAGUCCUGAAAGCCUUCUCCAGUCAUCAACAGACCCUUCAUAUGCCGCUCAAACAGGAAACGGUGACACCAAAUGAUGGUCCGUCACUGUUUUUUAAACAAAAACCAGUCAAGAUAAUAUAUAAAGGACAAUGUGACGAACAUGACAGUCACUUCUAUAUAGCCCUGCCCUGUUACCUUUUUUUGUUGUUUAAUUUUUGUUUUUGUUUUCCCACAUCUGCCUGUUGAUGAAUAAAAUCAAUUGUUUUGAAACAGAAAAGAUAAAAAAAGCAUUUGGACUUUUUAUUUUUUAAUGAGUCAUAAUGUGCUUGGUGUUUAGUG